UUGAGCUGAUUGAGCAUCUUCGGUGGUCACAGGCUCUGUGGUCGCAUACGUGUGCUGGCAGCAUGGAGACCAGCAAUGGGCGCACGUGAGCUGAUGGAAGCAUCGUUCAUGGUGUUGAGCUCCUGGUUCCAUCUGUUUGUCAGGGGCAUGGAGAGCAAUCCUUGGAAAGGAUGCCCUUGAGCUGACGUAAGCAUCCUUCAGGGCUGUGAGUGCCAUGGUUACUCCUCCGCAUUAGGAACAUGGAGACCAAUAAUGGGGACUGCCACACCAGUUCUGGCAUUCCGCCCGGCCUUGAAUUCAGAGGUUGUCUUAGGAGCAUGGAGACCACCAGUGUGUGAUGGAUCCCCCAUAGCUAAUGUUCUCCAAUCACCACGAUCUUUGCCUCAUCCUGUGGGAAGGAGCUUAUUGUACUACGUUCCACAUAGAAGUGAAAUCAUACGCUAUUUGCCUUUCUCUGACUUGUUUUCCUUAGCAUCAUAUCCUCUAGGAGCUGGGGCAUCACUGUGCUGUGCGCUUGAAACUAAAUGUGACGCUGUGUGUUGGCUAUACCCAAAUUAAAAAAAGA